CCCAAAAAAGUGCAAUGAAUCUAAUCUUCUCAAUCGUUAUGAUUAACAAGAUUGGUGUCACGUUCCUCUCUCUCUGACCUCCCUGGUAUUUUGCAUACGCCUCACCAUGUCUACAUGAGGAACGAGGACGUCUGAUACUGUAUUUCUUGAGCGCCGCAACUUGCUCUGCGCAUCGCGUGGAGGUGUGCUUGUUCUCAACAACAACAACAACAACAACAACAACAACAAAAAACAGGACGUCUCCCACUUUUCCUGAAGUUGGCUGUGCUCUCCACCGAUCUUUCUCUUCACGGCAGCUAAUGAGAAAGUGGGCCUGGGUUUGUCCUUGAUGGUGGGGCUGGAGACGCACAGGUAGAGCUUCCCGUCCUCCUCCAUGCAGGCUUCAAUCAGGGCCUGCACGGACGUCUCGUCCUGGAACAGCAGGAAGGCGUAUCCUUUGGGCGGAAAGUAGGACUUGCUCUCGGCUUUGUGCGGCCAGUCCACCACCAGGUGACCGAAGCGGCGGAAGCUGGAGGUUAUUUCAUCUGGAGGAGGAGUGCAAACAAAGGGUCGUGUUUUUCGUCGGACCUUGUUGUCACGUUCCAGCAUUCCUUGUUUCCACGUCACCGACCCAAGUAAGACACCACCCCAACGCUUAUGCGGCAGACGGCAGUUUUAUGGGCAAGAUCACUCGCCGCACCCAAACACUCACAUUAACAUUUCCUGAUUCUCACUCGGAACGCAUUAGUGUUCAUGUUUUUGACGCUAUGAAUUAUGACCUUAUUUUUUGGUUGAAAUUACAUAACUCCAACAUUGACUGCUCCUCUGGGGAUGUUAUGUCGUGGGGCAGCAAUGGCGCCCAGAACUGUUUCAAGCCUCUAUGUAAUGUUCAGGAGUAUGUGGAAGAAUCACUGGCAGCCGGGGUCAUUCGCCCGUCUUCGUCCCCUGCGGGGGCAGGAUUUUUCUUUGUGGACAAAAAGGACAAGACCCUGCGACCCUGUAUCGAUUACGGGGGUCUCAACGAAAUAACUGUGAAAAACAGGUAUCCUCUUCCUCUCAUCUCCACCGCCUUUGAGUUCCUGGAGGGAAGUCCCCAAAACUGGACUUAAGAAAUGCGUAUCAUCUAGUCAGGAUAAGGAACGGGGAUGAAUGGAAAACAGCAUUCAACGCACCCACGGGACAUUCUGAGUAUUUGCGGUUACUCCAGAAUGAACUUUCUGUCAAGGCUGAGAAAUGUGAGUUCCACAAGGCGUCCGUUUCUUUUCUGGGUUUCGUGCUGGCUCCAGGUGAAAUCAAAAUGGACCCUUGCAAAGUUGAUGCCGUGACCAAUCGGCCCACUCCCACGUCACGCAAAGACGUACAAUGGUUCUUAGGGUUCGCUAAUUUCUUACAUCCUUGUGCUUAUCUCUCUAAAAAAAACGGACUCCAGCCGAGAGAAAUUCUGACAUAGGUGACCGUGAACUGCUGGCUGUCAAGGUGGCUUUGGUGGAUUGGAGACACUGGCUAGAAGGGGCUCAGACUCCAUUUUUAGUAUGGACAGAUCACAAGAACCUUGAGUAUCUUAAGUCUGCUAAAAGAUGAAAUGCCAGGCAGGCUAGAUGGGCUCUAUUCUUCACAAGAUUUAAUUUCAUGUUAUCCUACCGACCUGGUUCUAAAAAUGGUAACCCAGAUUCUUUGUCACGUAUUUUCUGCAAAGAGAAUUCUUUGUCCGACCCUAAAAUCGUAUUGCCCAAGUCAUGUUUCAUUUCUGCUUUUGUUUGGGACAUUGAAACUGUGGUAAAAGAGGCUCAGAAUGACACUCUCAGUCCUGAAGAUUGCCCUGAAAACAGGCUUUAUGUGGUCUUAAGGGGAAGAGUCAUCCACUGGGCUCACACUAACCGGACUGUAUGUCACCCAGGCAUUGCCAAAACGCAAUCUGUGUUCGAACAGCGCUUUUGUGAGUAGGGAUGUUAUCACUUACGUCAAUGCUUGCCAGGUGUGCGCUGCUAACAAGCCCUCUCGUCAACGUCCUUCUGGGGAGUUGCGACCCCUGCCAAUACCACAACGUCCUUGGUCAGACCUUUCCGUA